rfam:Schistosoma rodhaini strain Burundi genome assembly, scaffold: SROB_scaffold0014220
AUCCAUCUGACGAGUCUCAAAUAGAACGAGACACGCGUUCUGGAU